UAGGGAAUCUUCGGCAAUGGACGAAAGUCUGACCGAGCAACGCCGCGUGAGUGAAGAAGGUUUUCGGAUCGUAAAACUCUGUUGUUAGAGAAGAACAAGGACGUUAGUAACUGAACGUCCCCUGACGGUAUCUAACCAGAAAGCCACGGCUAACUACGUGCCAGCAGCCGCGGUAAUACGUAGGUGGCAAGCGUUGUCCGGAUUUAUUGGGCGUAAAGCGAGCGCAGGCGGUUUCUUAAGUCUGAUGUGAAAGCCCCCGGCUCAACCGGGGAGGGUCAUUGGAAACUGGGAGGCUUGAGUGCAGAAGAGGAGAGUGGAAUUCCAUGUGUAGCGGUGAAAUGCGUAGAUAUAUGGAGGAACACCAGCGGCGAAGGCGGCUCUCUGGUCUGUAACUGACGCUGAGGCUCGAAAGCGUGGGGAGCAAACAGG
rnacentral:rRNA from 1 species